rnacentral:misc_RNA from 1 species
AAGAAGUUUGUAAUAAGCCUCCACACCUGAAAGCGUGAGAAUACAAGUUUAUAUAUCAAAGCGAUAUGCACCACAUCGAAUACACCAAGCUGAUAAGCUGCAGUGAAAAGAAGGCACAGAGUCCCAUAAGCCUUGCUUAUAGGUGGAAGAGACUGAUAGUAUUCGGCAGGGGAAGACAUUGAAGACAAGGUAAGCUAAAUUGAGAUGGAGAAAAUGGCUCCUUGGACUAAAAAUUUCGAAAAUGAUAGUUGUGAUUUGUGAAAAUUCUAAGCCGUUUUAAGUCGAAUAUUCUGAAAUCUAUGAAGAGAUUGGUACGAUCCAGAAGGUUCCUGGCUCUUCCUAGCUUUCGUGCUCGGUUGGUCUCUAUCGUUUCGCUCGAAUUUGGCCAGCAAUGGAGGCAUAACACAGUUGGACUCAGCCUCUG